UACGAAGGGGGCUAGCGUUGCUCGGAUUGACUGGGCGUAAAGAGCGUGUAGGCGGCUCGCUAAGUCUUGCGUGAAAUCUCGGGGCUCAACCCCGAGCGGUCGUGAGAAACUGGCGGGCUAGAGUGCGGGGAGAGGCGAGUGGAAUUCCUGGUGUAGCGGUGAAAUGCGCAGAUAUCAGGAGGAACACCAAUUGCGAAAGGCAGCUCGCUG
rnacentral:rRNA from 1 species